UCCCUUGUAGCUCAGUCGGUAAAGAAUCUGCCUGCAGUGCAGGACACCCGGGUUCGAUUCCUGGGUUGGGAC
rnacentral:tRNA from 1 species